rnacentral:rRNA from 1 species
AUAGGCAGCUUACUCUCUGCAUUUCCUAAAUGAUCGCCCACUGAAGCUAAGCAGGGCUGCGCCCGGUCAGUACCUGGAUUGGAGACCACAUGCGAAAGCUCGGUUGCUGCUGGAA